UAUGUGACUGCCCUUCUUCCCUACGUUCUCCUGACGGCUUUGCUGGUCAGGUCGUGCAUGAUGCCGGGUGCUGGGGACGGUAUACUCUAUUUCCUUAGUCCAGACUUCUCUCGGCUUGGAAAUGUACAGGUUUGGCUGGAAGCUUUGUUGCAAGGUUUUUUUCUCCAUGAGUACAACAGUCGGAGGCCUCAUCACCAUGAGCAGCUACAACAACUUCCACAACAACUGCUUCAGAGACGUAGUGUUACUUACUGUCAUUGGUGAAGCCACCAGUAUAUUCUGUGGCUUUGUGGUCUUCUCUUCACUGGGCUUC